AAUUUCAAUGCAAGUAGUAUCGUUUGGUGAUCAGAAGAAAAUUAAAGCUAAGUUCGCAGUGGUUAUUGUUGAGUUUGAAUACUUACCCUAAAUUUACGUGCUAAGGCAUUUGCAACUUUAGUACGAAGGCGCGAAGUGAAACUGCGCAGGGAAGUUGAGCACAGGCUACAAUACCACGCAACGAAGCGUUUUCAAUUAGGAAUCGCCAGAUUGAACCGAAAUCGAAUUGAGGUGUAGGGACUAGCAGCGGAAAAUAGCUGGAAUCGAGACGGAAGUAAGCGAUAGGAAGUUCACUAAACG